rnacentral:rRNA from 1 species
UACGUAGGGUGCAAGCGUUGUCCGGAAUUAUUGGGCGUAAAGAGCUCGUAGGCGGUUCGUCGCGUCGGCUGUGAAAUCCCGAGGCUCAACCUCGGGUCUGCAGUCGAUACGGGCGGACUGGAGUUCGGCAGGGGAGAACGGAAUUCCUGGUGUAGCGGUGAAAUGCGCAGAUAUCAGGAGGAACACCGGUGGCGAAGGCGGUUCUCUGGGCAUGUCCUGACGCUGAGGAGCGAAAGCCAGGGGAGCAAACGGG